GAAGUAGACAUCAUCUUCACCAGG
rnacentral:siRNA from 1 species